rnacentral:rRNA from 1 species
AUUGAACGCUGGCGGCAGGCCUAACACAUGCAGUCGAGCGGUCGAGAGAAGCUUGCUUCUCUUGAGAGCGGCGGACGGGUGAGUAAUGCCUAGGAAUCUGCCUGGUAGUGGGGGAUAACGUUCGGAAACGGACGCUAAUACCGCAUACGUCCUACGGGAGAAAGCAGGGGACCUUCGGGCCUUGCGCUAUCAGAUGAGCAUAGGUCGGAUUAGCUAGUUGGUGGGGUAAUGGCUCACCAAGGCGACGAUCCGUAACUGGUCUGAGAGGAUGAUCAGUCACACUGGAACUGAGACACGGUCCAGACUCCUACGGGAGGCAGCAGUGGGGAAUAUUGGACAAUGGGCGAAAGCCUGAUCCAGCCAUGCCGCGUGUGUGAAGAAGGUCUUCGGAUUGUAAAGCACUUUAAGUUGGGAGGAAGGGCAGUAAAUUAAUACUUUGCUGUUUUGACGUUACCGACAGAAUAAGCACCGGCUAACUCUGUGCCAGCCGCCGCAGUAA